rnacentral:rRNA from 1 species
GGCGAACGCUGGCGGCGUGCCUAAUACAUGCAAGUAGAACGCUGAAGCUUGGUGCUUGCCCCGAGCGGAUGAGUUGCGAACGGGUGAGUAACGCGUAGGUAACCUGCCUGGUAGCGGGGGAUAACUAUUGGAAACGAUAGCUAAUACCGCAUAAGAGUAGAUGUUGCAUGACAUUUGCUUAAAAGGUGCAAUUGCAUCGCUACCAGAUGGACCUGCGUUGUAUUAGCUAGUUGGUGAGGUAACGGCUCACCAAGGCAACGAUACAUAGCCGACCUGAGAGGGUGAUCGGCCACACUGGGACUGAGACACGGCCCAGACUCCUACGGGAGGCAGCAGUAGGGAAUCUUCGGCAAUGGACGGAAGUCUGACCGAGCAACGCCGCGUGAGUGAAGAAGGUUUUCGGAUCGUAAAGCUCUGUUGUAAGAGAAGAACGAGUGUGAGAGUGGAAAGUUCACACUGUGACGGUAUCUUACCAGAAAGGGACGGCUAACUACGUG